GGGCAGAAAAUACAAAGGGGGCCCGGAUUCCAACUUCGACUGAGUCAACAGCAGACGCAGGCUCAGCGCAGCCCCGUGCGGCUGGAAGAACCACGGCUGGGACUCCAACUUGUUGAGAAGGUUCAGUCGCGCCUUCUUGUUCCAUAGGGACCCCCCGGCCGGUCGGGCUUUGUUGCCUUCAGGGUCUCAGGGUCCAGUGAGGGAGAUGAGCUCGCACUCAGACCCGCAGACAGGUUAAAGAACACCUCCAAGAAGAAGCCUUCGUUGACACCACCUCUACCAGGAGGUCGCCUUUUCUGACUCCCCCCACUUUCAACCACACCCUGUCAGAACUCACCCAUUUUACCGCUUUGCCGCGUUUCCUAACUAGUCGGAAUGGGUUCCUCUUGGCUCUCCGGAAAUAGAGACUAAGCCUCAUCGGUGACAACCUUGCUCUGCGCCCAGAGCUGAUAAGAAACAUCACCCAGGGAGGACAGGUGCCUCUUCUUCACUUUCUAAUCAGAGUGGAAAU